rnacentral:rRNA from 1 species
AUUGAACGCUGGCGGCAUGCUUUACACAUGCAAGUCGAACGGUAACGCGGGGCAACCUGGCGACGAGUGGCGAACGGGUGAGUAAUGCAUCGGAACGUGCCCGGUAGUGGGGGAUAACUGCUCGGAAGAGCAGCUAAUACCGCAUACGACCUGAGGGUGAAAGGGGGGGAUCGCAAGACCUCUCGCUAUUGGAGCGGCCGAUGUCGGAUUAGCUAGUUGGUGGGGUAAAGGCUCACCAAGGCGACGAUCCGUAGCGGGUCUGAGAGGAUGAUCCGCCACACUGGGCAUGAGACACGGCCCAGACGCCUACGGGAGGCAGCAGGGGGGAAUUUUGGACAAUGGGCGCAAGCCUGAUCCAGCCAUGCCGCGUGAGUGAAGAAGGCCUUCGGGUCGUAAAGCUCUUUUGUUGGGGAAGAGAUGGUUUGGGUUAAUACCCUGAAUCGAUGACGGUACCUGAAGAAUAAGCACCGGCUAACUACGUGCCAGCCGCCGCCGUAACAC